CAGACUCUGGCCCGCACCCAGGGUGGCUUCACCGAGAGACUGGAGGGAAGGUUUCUCAACAGCGAGCUGGGGCCCGGCACCAAGGGCCGAGCGCUGGAGGGAGGUGCUCGGAGACAUCGAGUUCUCCAUAGAGCAGCUGAAGCUCACCUCGAGAUAUGAGCUGUGUAUAACUCGAGUUAGCUAAUGCAUCCUCCAAGGAAGAAGAUAUGAAAAGACCCAGAAUGGAAAGGGUGAAUGCUUUUUAUUGUAAUGACAUUGGUCAAGCAACAGUUGUUGGAAAUACCAAGCCAGCUGUGGGGAUGUCAGCUAUUUCACGCUUAGCCCAUAUAUAAAACAAUAUUUUACAUGACUCAAUGUUUGCUGCAAACAUUGGUGCUAAACACUCUCA